UACGGGGGGAGCAAGCGUUGUUCGGAUUUCCUGGGCGUAAAGGGCGCGUAGGCGGUCAGCACAAGUCAGUUGUGAAAUCUCCGGGCUUAACUCGGAAAGGUCAACUGAUACUGUGCGACUAGAGUGCAGAAGGGGCAACUGGAAUUCUCGGUGUAGCGGUGAAAUGCGUAGAUAUCGAGAGGAACACCUGCGGCGAAGGCGGGUUGCUGGGCUGACACUGACGCUGAUGCGCGAAAGCCAGGGGAGCGAACGGG
rnacentral:rRNA from 1 species